UUGGCGAAAUAAGCUGCUGGGGACCUAGGUUCAACCUUAAAUUUCCUGCAAAAUGGAAGCCAAUACUUGGCGAACCCAGAAACUUCACAAAGAGCAUAAAAGGUGAGCUCUGAUCCAGCGUCAUCAGAUAAAUAGACAUUCAAUUUUUCAGGAGGAUAAGCAUAAGCCAGGAGCGAUAGAACAGUGGAGAUGACUAGAGAUGGUGGCUCUGCUGAAGGAUCUGCGGUGCAGACGAAGACAUCAACCCCUGGUAGCUCAGUACCAUAUCUCUUAUCCAGCCUCUCCUUGAAGAUUUGGCGAUAGAUAGGGUUCCAUCGAACGGACUGUGUGAGGAUCCAGUAGAA
rnacentral:misc_RNA from 1 species